GUGAAAUGCUGAAUACAACAGGUGUAGUAUACCUUACAGUGAAAUGCUGAAUACAACAGGUGUAGUAGACCUUACAGUGAAAUGCUGAAUACAACAGGUGUAGUAGACCUUACAGUGAAAUGCUGAAUACAACAGGUGUAGUAGACCUUACAGUGAAAUGCUGAAUACAACAGGUGUAGUAGACCUCACAGUGAAAUGCUGAAUACAACAGGUGUAGUAGACCUCACAGUAAAAUGCUGAAUACAACAGGUGUAGUAGACCUCACAGUGAAAUGCUGAAUACAACAGGUGUAGUAGACCUCACAGUGAAAUGCUGAAUACAACAGGUGUAGUAGACCUUACAGUGAAAUGCUGAAUACAACAGGUGUAGUAGACCUUACAGUGAAAUGCUGAAUACAACAGGUGUAAUAGACCUUACAGUGAAAUGCUGAAUACAACAGGUGUAGUAGACCUUACAGUGAAAUGCUGAAUACAACAGGUGUAGUAGACCUUACAGUGAAAUGCUGAAUACAACAGGUGUAGUAGACCUCACAGUGAAAUGCUGAAUACAACAGGUGUAGUAGACCUUACAGUGAAAUGCUGAAUACAACAGGUGUAGUAGACCUUACAGUGAAAUGCUGAAUACAACAGGUGUAAUAGACCUUACAGUGAAAUGCUGAAUACAACAGGUGUAGUAGACCGUACAGUGAAAUGCUGAAUACCAGGUGUAGUAGACCUUACAGUGAAAUGCUGAAUACAACAGGUGUAAUAGACCUUACAGUGAAAUGCUGAAUACAACAGGUGUAGUAGACCUUACAGUGAAAUGCUGAAUACAACAGGUGUAGUAGACCUUACAGUGAAAUGCUGAAUACAACAGGUGUAGUAGACCUUACAGUGAAAUGCUGAAUACAACAGGUGUAGUAGACCUUACAGUGAAAUGCUGAAUACAACAGGUGUAGUAGACCUUACAGUGAAAUGCUGAAUACAACAGGUGUAGUAGACCUUACAGUGAAAUGCUGAAUACAACAGGUGUAGUAGACCUUACAGUGAAAUGCUGAAUACAACAGGUGUAGUAGACCUUACAGUGAAAUGCUGAAUACAACAGGUGUAGUAUACCUUACAGUGAAAUGCUGAAUACAACAGGUGUAGUAGACCUUACAGUGAAAUGCUGAAUACAACAGGUGUAGUAGACCUUACAGUGAAAUGCUGAAUACAACAGGUGUAGUAGACCUUACAGUGAAAUGCUGAAUACAACAGGUGUAGUAGACCUCACAGUGAAAUGCUGAAUACAACAGGUGUAGUAGACCUCACAGUAAAAUGCUGAAUACAACAGGUGUAGUAGACCUCACAGUGAAAUGCUGAAUACAACAGGUGUAGUAGACCUCACAGUGAAAUGCUGAAUACAACAGGUGUAGUAGACCUUACAGUGAAAUGCUGAAUACAACAGGUGUAGUAGACCUUACACUGAAAUGCUGAAUACAACAGGUGUAGUAGACCUGACAGUGAAAUGCUGAAUACAACAGGUGUAGUAGACCUCACAGUGAAAUGCUGAAUACAACAGGUGUAGUAGACCUUACAGUGAAAUGCUGAAUACAACAGGUGUAGUAGACCUCACAGUGAAAUGCUGAAUACAACAGGUGUAGUAGACCUUACAGUGAAAUGCUGAAUACAACAGGUGUAGUAGACCUUACAGUGAAAUGCUGAAUACAACAGGUGUAGUAGACCUCACAGUGAAAUGCUGAAUACAACAGGUGGAGUAGACCUCACAGUGAAAUGCUGAAUACAACAG